AGUGUAUUGGACAACCAUGGCAGUUACGGGUAACGGAGAAUUAGGGUUCGGUUCCGGAAAGGGAGCCUGAGAAACGGCUACCACAUCUAAGGAAGGCAGCAGGCGCGUAAAUUACCCAAUCCCGAUUCGGGGAGGUAGUGACAAGAAAUAACAACUCGGGAGAUUUAUCUCUACGGGAUUGCAAUGAGAACAAUUUAAAAGACUUAUCGAGGAACAACUGGAGGGCAAGUCUGGUGCCAGCAGCCGCGGUAAUUCCAGCUCCAAUAGCGUAUAUUAAAGUUGUUGCAGUUAAAAAGCUCGUAGUUGAACUUCUGUGUAUAUCCAGACGUGGCUUCGGUCAGUCUGUGGUGUGCACAUCCGCUUGCAAACCUGGACCGGCCUUUACUGGUCGACCAGGGGAGUAGGCCUUUUACUUUGAAAAAAUUAGAGUGUUUCAAGCAGGCAAUGGUUCGAAUACAUUAGCAUGGAAUAAUGGAAUAGGACUUUUGUCCAUUUGGUUGGUUAUUGGACAUGAGUAAUGAUUAACAGGGACAGUUGGGGGCAUUAGUAUUUAAUUGUCAGAGGUGAAAUUCUUGGAUUUAUUAAAGACUAACUUAUGCGAAAGCAUUUGCCAAGGAUGUUUUCA
rnacentral:rRNA from 1 species